rnacentral:rRNA from 1 species
CCGUGCCCAAGAGAUCGGGAUAACACCUGGAAACAGAUGCUAAUACCGGAUAACAACAGAUGAUGCCUAUCAACUGUUUAAAAGAUGGUUCUGCUAUCACUCUUGGAUGGACCUGCGGUGCAUUAGCUAGUUGGUAGGGUAACAGCCUACCAAGGCGAUGAUGCAUAGCCGAGUUGAGAGACUGAUCGGCCACAUUGGGACUGAGACACGGCCCAAACUCCUACGGGAGGCAGCAGCC